CCUUCCUCGCAGAAAACAUACCCAUCCCACCCAGCGCUGGACGUCAAGAGAGAGAGAGAGACAAGUCGUUUUCAUGAGUGGAGUGAAAUAUUGGUGCUAGUAGUGGAUGCAUGUAGCCAUCCAGCCAGCCAGCUUGCACGGGAAAAGGGGAAAAGUUGAGCCGCCGAGAUGGGAAAGUUUGAGACUUUGAGUGGUGAGAGAGAAACUUUGAGAUUUAUGACAGUUUGGCCCGAUCAUUAUGCAGAGAUGGGGAUAAGUGUAGGACACACAACUAGUGGUGGUGGUAACAGCAGAAGAAGUGUAAUGCCAGGGAUGGUGGUUUGCUGUUUGUGCCGUGUUACAGCAUAUGUAAGAUCGUGUCCCGUAUUGAUUUAUAGAAAAAUACUUUCAUAAUUUCCCCUCAAUACUUGACCCCUCCUUUCCCACUUACAUAUUCAUUCAACAUGCUAAAAAACGCGGAUUUUGAGUUGUUGCUCUUCCAUGUCAGGUAUUCAACAGUAUCAUCAUCUCGAGAUGUUUUCUCCACUUCCAUUAAAAUGUACUUUCCCCACCAAUAAAUUUCUGGUGGAGACUUUCAAAUGGACAUAUCUCCUCCGUUCCAUUCCAUCCCAUCAUUAAUCUCAAAGACAGGAGAAGAAUUCAAACACUUUUGUGAUUCCGAUUGGAGGUUUGCUCCUCUGCUCAACACACCACAUACUUGGUUCCAAAACAAAGAGAUAGAUGGUGAGGACGCGGGUCUAGUAAAGUUGUCAUUGAUCUAUGACACGUGAGAAGGAGAAAACUUUGUGCCCAAUCCAUCCAUAUCCAUCCGUCUAUCCGUGAGCUAUUAUUCAUCCACAAGAAAUCAAUGGCAAUAGCACUUAUUCGCACUCAUAACUCAUUCCCCGUCUCUAAUAAUGCUGUGUACUUGACCACAACAAAGUACCAUGUAACUCGCAUUUGUAACAAUGUGGCCAGACCCACAUUGUACAUACACCAGUAAAUUCGUACAUACAUACGUAUUGUAUCUUCAAUUUAGACAGAAGAGAAAUUCUGAAAUUCUGAAAGUCUUUUUUACUUUGUUUAUUUACUCUUCCCACCAACAAACAACAAAUCUUUACAGAGUAAACCCUUUAUUAGAGGUAAAAAUUAUGGCAAUCUUUGUUUAUCUUAAGUUGGUAAGCAAUUCAUUACAAAAAAGACGUUCAUUAUGUGCAUUCAUGUUGAGCGAAGAUACGUACUACUUUAGAAAAAAAUGUUUCUUGCACCACGCCAGCCAUGAAUUAAUUAUUGAUAUAAUCCAAAUCUAUAGUACAUGUAAAAACCUAGCAUAGUUUUAGUUUAAAAUUAUUACGA